rnacentral:rRNA from 1 species
UGGGUGAGUAACACGUAUCCAACCUGCCGUCUACUCUUGGACAGCCUUCUGAAAGGAAGAUUAAUACAAGAUGGCAUCAUGAGUUCACAUGUUCACAUGAUUAAAGGUAUUCCGGUAGACGAUGGGGAUGCGUUCCAUUAGAUAGUAGGCGGGGUAACGGCCCACCUAGUCUUCGAUGGAUAGGGGUUCUGAGAGGAAGGUCCCCCACAUUGGAACUGAGACACGGUCCAA